rnacentral:rRNA from 1 species
CCUACGGGAGGCAGCAGUGAGGAAUAUUGGUCAAUGGACGAGAGUCUGAACCAGCCAAGUAGCGUGAAGGAUGACUGCCCUAUGGGUUGUAAACUUCUUUUAUAUGGGAAUAAAAUGUUCCACGUGUGGGAUUUUGUAUGUACCAUAUGAAUAAGGAUCGGCUAACUCCGUGCCAGCAGCCGCGGUAAUACGGAGGAUCCGAGCGUUAUCCGGAUUUAUUGGGUUUAAAGGGAGCGUAGGUGGAUGGUUAAGUCAGUUGUGAAAGUUUGCGGCUCAACCGUAAAAUUGCAGUUGAAACUGGCAGUCUUGAGUACAGUAGAGGUGGGCGGAAUUCGUGGUGUAGCGGUGAAAUGCUUAGAGAUCACGAAGAACUCCGAUUGCGAAGGCAGUUCACUGGACUGCAACUGACACUGAGGCUCGAAAGUGUGGGUAUCAAACAGGAUUAGAUACCCUAGUAGUC